UGCCGUAAACUGCCGAAAGGCGUCGCAGUAUAAAAUCUGGACGUAAACCUUUGCCUGGUCUCAGUGGCAUUUACAAGAGUGGCGAGGUUGUCAAAGGAACUGAAAAAGGAAAGUGUGUUUCCCAAACUGCUGUAAGGUCGGAAAUGGACUCUCAUGGCCCCUACCACGCUGUACUCAUGCUGUCCAGAGUGCAGUUUCCUGAACCUCCUGACAAGUGUCCCUUGGGCCUCUUAAGAUGCGAACAAGUUCCAACGUGUGUGGUCAAGUGAUUAGACAUGACCUCAAAAAAAUGGCUGCAUUACCAAUAAGAAGCAUGUCUGCGAACAGAACUAAGCUGCCUGCAUUCACAAUGGUCUGUGGACAUGACCAUCUGGUGGACCAAAUCAAGAAGUUGGCACCUAGUUACCAAUGCUCAGCCAUGUCAUAGAUGUUUCUUUAAAAGGCUCAAGCAUGUUGUCUUUAAAACGUUUGAGCUUCAGUGACCACCAGGGGAUGCUGCUUACUUCCUGAAGCCACUGGUGUCCAUGCAGAGAAUCUGGAGGCUUGCGUAAGUUGAUGUUUUGCUGAGUUUUACUUCAUUGCCUCUGGGUGUCCCAAAAUGUACAAAAAGAUCUACAUCCAGAGUCUCUAGAGCAGAACUUCAACGUGUAACCUGGAGGGACCAGACACGAUACAAAAGCAUGCUGCUUCCAAGGCGACCAUUUUACCUCCCAAGCCGUGUCCACUCAGUUUCUUAUCUCAAUUCUGACAUAGCCAGUCGUGGUAUGUUAGCUACACCUCAACACGGUACCCUCUCAGUUGAGGAGUAUUGCAUAAGUGCUGUAACUAAUGAAGCAGGCCCAUGCAGAUGGGGUAUAGCCUCGUAAUGCUCCUGGCAUAUAAGGAGCUCCAAAUAUGUAUUCCUAAUAAGUAGCCUAUUGCAAGGUUAAAUGGAUGAUUAAUAAUCGGUUACAAAUAGGGGUGUACGUGUAUUUCUACUGAACCGUUCAGUACAGGAUGAUCGGUCAGGUAUGCAUCUUCCUCAGUUUGGUACACCAUGUGACCCAAGAAUUACUGUCAUAGUUGUUUGCAACAUUACUUGCUGAUUUUAGAGUAUAAUUUAGUGUAAACUGCAGUUCAGGAGUUGUUAAUUGGUUUUUCAUUUCAAAUAUGCCAGUAUUUGAGGACCAAUGUUUACAGUAAGAAUUAUGGCCAGAGAGCCACUGUUGAAUGUUAACAUUCCAAAUGAUAUGAACAAAUGUAGAAUACAUUUCCUGCAUUGUGUCUGUUCCCUGUACGGAAAACUGUCUGAACCCUCAGUUUUAUGUGCUGCUUCAGCCCUAGUAAUAAGUGAACUAUUCAUUGUGAUGGACGUUUUGAAAGUGGUUUCAAGUGUUCUUAAUUCUGUAUUGUAAUGUUCAAAACGCUCAUGGGUGGGCUGUUUGUCAUUUGUAAUUAAACUCUGCUCAUUCA